CUGAAAAUGUAUUUAGUUACAAGACAGUAAGACA
rnacentral:sRNA from 1 species